rnacentral:rRNA from 2 species
CUAUCAGCUUUGGAUGGUAGGAUAUGGGCCUACCAUGGCAUUAACGGGUAACGGGGAAUUAGGGUUUGAUUCCGGAGAGGGAGCCUUAGAAACGGCUACCGCAUCCAAGGAAGGCAGCAGGCGCGUAAAUUACCCAAUCCUGACACAGGGAGGUAGUGACAAUAAAUAACAAUGCUCUGGCUCUUCGAGUCGGGCAAUUGGAAUGAGAACAAUUUAAAUCCCUUAUCGAGGAUCAAUUGGAGGGCAAGUCUGGUGCCAGCAGCCGCGGUAAUUCCAGCUCCAAUAGCGUAUAUUAAAGUUGUUGCAGUUAAAAAGCUCGUAGUUGGAUUUCUGUUUUGAGCGUCCGGUCCGUCCUUUGGAUGUGUUACUAGGAUGUUUGAGACAUUUUUUGUGAGGAUGUCUUUCUGUCAUUCAGUUGGCGGUUGGAUAGACUUGCAUCGUUUACUGUGAAAAAAUUAGAGUGUUUAAAGCAGGCGUUUGCUCAUUGAAUACAUUAGCAUGGAAUAAUAAGAUACGACCUUGGUGGUCUAUUUUGUUGGUUUGCACACCAGGGUAAUGAUUAAUAGGGACAGUUGGGGGUAUUCAUAUUUCAGCGUCAGAGGUGAAAUUCUUGGAUCGCUGAAA